GGUUUGGGUAGCCUUUUUGUAUGUUACGGCAGUGCUCUGCUAGUCUAGUUUUUAGGCAGCGAGAGGUCAUACCCACAUAUUGCAAGCCACAUGGAAAUUAAAGUAAAUAAAUAACAUUUUUUGUGUUGCAAGUAACAAUGUCUUUUAUAGGACAGGAUAUUUUUGUGUUGUGGGAUGUAAAAUGGGUGUUUUUUGUCUUUAUAUUAUGAUCUGUGGAUUUACACACUAUACAGGUAUUACAUUUAAAAAAGCCUUUAGAAUUAGAUAAAAGGGUUG